CCAAGAUUAAGCCAUGCAUGUCUAAGUACAUUCCGAUAAAUGGAGAAACCGCGAAUGGCUCAUUACAACAGCCAUAGUUUAUUAGAUCUUACUCUUACUAGGAUACCUGUGGUAACCUAAGAGCUAAUACUUGCAAUCAAGUCCUGACUUUAUAGGAAGGACGCAUUUAUUAGAAUAAAACCAAUCGGGCUUGCCCGGAAUUUGGUGAAUCUGAAUAACUAUGCCGAUCGCACAGUCCUCGUACUGGCGACGUAUCUUUCAAAUGUCUGCCUUAUCAACUUUCGAUGGUAGUUUACACGACUACCAUGGUAAUCACGGGUAACGGAGAAUUAGGGUUCGACUCCGGAGAGGGAGCCUGAGAAACGGCUACCACAUCCAAGG
rnacentral:rRNA from 1 species